rnacentral:rRNA from 1 species
GACAGAGGGUGCAAACGUUGUUCGGAAUUACUGGGCGUAAAGCGCGUGUAGGCGGCUAUGUAAGUCGGGCGUGAAAUCCCACGGCUCAACCGUGGAAGUGCACCCGAAACUGCGUAGCUAGAGUCCUGGAGAGGAAGGUGGAAUGCUUGGUGUAGAGGUGAAAUUCGUAGAUAUCAAAGCGGAAACACCGGUGGCGUAAGGGCGGCCUACCUGGGGACAG